AGCUCCAAUAGCGUAUAUUAAAGUUGUUGCAGUUAAAAAGCUCGUAGUUGGAUUUCUGGUGGGAGCGAUGGGUCCGCCUUUCAUUAGGUGCGCACUCGGUUCGCGUCCGGCCUUUUUCGCGGCGAACGUGCCUGGCAUUAGGUUGUCGGGUUCGGGAGCCGCGUCAUUUACUGUGAAAAAUCAGGACGUUUCAAGUAGGCUUACGCCGUUGAAUGUACUAGCAUGGAAUAAUAAGAUAGGACUUUGGUGGUCUAUUUUGUUGGUUUGCACACCAAGGUAAUGAUUAAUAGGGAUAGUUGGGGGUAUUCGUAUUCAAUUGUCAGAGGUGAAAUUCUUGGAUUUAUGGAAGACGAACUACUGCGAAAGCAUUUACCAAGGAUGUUUUCA
rnacentral:rRNA from 1 species